rnacentral:rRNA from 1 species
AUUGAACGCUGGCGGCAGGCCUAACACAUGCAAGUCGAACGAGUGGCGGACGGGUGAGUAAUGUCUGGGAAACUGCCCGAUGGAGGGGGAUAACUACUGGAAACGGUAGCUAAUACCGCAUACCAUCGGAUGUGCCCAGAUGGGAUUAGCUAGUAGGUGGGGUAACGGCUCACCUAGGCGACGAUCCCUAGCUGGUCUGAGAGGAUGACAAGCCACACUGGAACGGAGACAGGGCCCAGACGCAUACGGGAGGCAGAAGGGGGGAAUAUUGAACAAUGGGCGAAAGCCUGAUGCAGCCAUGCCGGUUGUAUGAAGAAGCCUUUCGGGUUGUAAAGUACUUUCAGCGGGGAGGGGUUACCCGAAGAAGAAGCACCGGCUAACUCCGUGCCAGCAGCGGCGGAAAUAC